UACAGGGGGUGCAAACGUUGUUCGGAAUUACUGGGCGUAAAGCGCGUGUAGGCGGCUUGGCAAGUCGGGUGUGAAAGCCCUGGGCUCAACCUAGGAAGUGCACUCGAAACUGCUUCGCUUGAGUGCCGGAGAGGAAAGCGGAAUUCUCGGUGUAGAGGUGAAAUUCGUAGAUAUCGAGAGGAACAUCGGUGGCGAAGGCGGCUUUCUGGACGGUAACUGACGCUGAGACGCGAAAGCGUGGGGAGCAAACAGG
rnacentral:rRNA from 1 species